rnacentral:piRNA from 1 species
UACACGCGUUCUCGCGACCGGCCA